rnacentral:misc_RNA from 1 species
AAGACUAUAGACCUGCGGAGUACCUGCGGAGGGAUCAUUAUCAAUUUACAGCGGACUUCGGUCCUGUCUGCACCCUUGUCUUUUGCGUACUAUAUGUUUCCUCGGUGGGCUUGCCUGCCGAUAGGACACUUAUAAACUCUUUUGUAAUUGCAAUCAGCGUCAGAAAACUAUAAUAGUUACAACUUUUAACAACGGAUCUCU